rnacentral:rRNA from 1 species
GAGUUUGAUCUUGGCUCAGAUUGAACGCUGGCGGCAUGCCUUACACAUGCAAGUCGAACGGCAGCAUGAUCUAGCUUGCUAGAUUGAUGGCGAGUGGCGAACGGGUGAGUAAUACAUCGGAACGUGCCCUGUAGUGGGGGAUAACUAGUCGAAAGAUUAGCUAAUACCGCAUACGACCUGAGGGUGAAAGUGGGGGACCGCAAGGCCUCAUGCUAUA